GAUGAAGAACGUAGCGAAAUGCGAUACUUGGUGUGAAUUGCAGAAUCCCGUGAACCAUCGAGUCUUUGAACGCAAGUUGCGCCCGAAGCCAUCAGGUUGAGGGCACGUCUGCCUGGGCGUCACAUAUCGUUGCCCAAUGCCUAUUGCAGUGCAAUAGGAAUUUCUAGGGCGAAUGAUGGCUUCCCGUGAGCGUUGUUGCCUCGCGGUUGGUUGAAAAUCGAGUCCUUGGUAGGGUGUGCCAUGGUAGAUGGUGGCGAGUUAGAACGAUACCGAUCAUGUGCAUGCUCCCCAAAAUAUGGCCUCUAUGACCCACACGCGUCUUUUGACGCUCAUGACGAGACCUCAGGUCAGGCGGGGCUACCCGCUGAAUUUAAGCAUAUCAAUAAGCGGAGGA
rnacentral:misc_RNA from 1 species